rnacentral:rRNA from 1 species
UUGUGCAAAGGUAGCAUAAUCAUUAGUCUCUUAAUUGGUGACUUGUAUGAAAGAUUGGAUGAAAUAUAAACUGUCUUAAAAAUAAUUAAUUGAAUUUAAUUUUUUAAUUAAAAAGUUAAAAUAAAUCAAAAAGACGAGAAGACCCUAUAGAGUUUUAUAUUAAAUGAAAUUUAGUUUAUAUAUAAAUUUAUUAAAUUAUAAAUUUUAUUUAAUAUUUUGUUGGGGUGAUAAAAAAAUAAAAAAAACUUUUUUUUAAAUUAUCCAUAAAUAAGUGAUUAUUUGAUCCAUUUUUAUUGAUUAUAAGAAAAAAUUACCUUAGGGAUAACAGCGUAAUUUUUUUUUUUAGUUCUUAUAAGAAAAAAAGUUUGCGACCUCGAUGUUGGAUCAGGACA